CCGGUGGCGGUUCUGUAAAUUUGGUUGUAGUGAAGAUUCAAGAUGGACGGUAGCGGUAGUUCUGCUACUCAGGCCACAGAAGCAUGGACAAGAAUAUGGGACUUGCUGCAUAAAUAGUCUCAGGCGUGUUGUGAGGAGGACCAACAGCAUUCUGGGCCCUUAACUCCUACAUAUGGACAUCAACUGCAAGUUGAUGAGAUUGUGUUGAGGAGGCUGCUUUUCCCUGCAUUGGUAGCUCCUGCAAUGACCACCUGGACUCCGCUGCGUAGCCGCUCGCCCCGCC